rnacentral:rRNA from 1 species
UGUUGUUCUCAAAGAUUAAGCCAUGCAUGUCUAAGUAUAAGCAAUUAUACCGUGAAACUGCGAAUGGCUCAUUAAAUCAGUUAUCGUUUAUUUGAUAAUACCUUACUACUUGGAUAACCGUGGUAAUUCUAGAGCUAAUACAUGCUGAAAAUCCCGACUUCGGAAGGGAUGUGUUUAUUAGAUAAAAAACCAAUGCCCUUCGGGGCUCCUUGGUGAUUCAUAAUAACUUUACGGAUCGCAUAGCCUUGCGCUGGCGACGGUUCAUUCAAAUUUCUGCCCUAUCAACUUUCGAUGGUAAGGUAUUGGCUUACCAUGGUUUCAACGGGUAACGGGGAAUUAGGGUUCGAUUCCGGAGAGGGAGCCUGAGAAACGGCUACCACAUCCAAGGAAGGCAGCAGGCGCGCAAAUUACCCAAUCCCGAUUCGGGGAGGUAGUGACAAUAAAUACUGAUACAGGGCUCUUUUGGGUCUUGUAAUUGGAAUGAGUACAAUUUAAACCUCUUAACGAGGAACAAUUGGAGGGCAAGUCUGGUGCCAGCAGCCGCGGUAAUUCCAGCUCCAAUAGCGUAUAUUAAAGUUGUUGCAGUUAAAAAGCUCGUAGUUGAAACUUGGGUCUGGCUGGCGGGUCCGCCUCACCGCGUGCACUCGUCCGGCCGGGCCUUCCUUCUGAAGAACCUCAUGCCCUUUACUGGGCGUGUUGGGGAAUCAGGACUUUUACUUUGAAAAAAUUAGAGUGUUCAAAGCAGGCCUUUGCUCGAAUACGUUAGCAUGGAAUAAUAAAAUAGGGCGUGCGUUUCUAUUUUGUUGGUUUCUAGAGACGCCGCAAUGAUUAACAGGAACAGUCGGGGGCAUCAGUAUUCAGUUGUCAGAGGUGAAAUUCUUGGAUUUACUGAAGACUAACUACUGCGAAAGCAUUUGCCAAGGAUGUUUUCAUUAAUCAGUGAACGAAAGUUAGGGGAUCGAAGACGAUCAGAUACCGUCGUAGUCUUAACCGUAAACUAUGCCGACUAGGGAUCGGGCGAUGUUCUUUUUCUGACUCGCUCGGCACCUUACGAGAAAUCAAAGUUUUUGGGUUCUGGGGGGAUUAUGGUCGCAAGGCUGAACUUAAAAGAAAUUGACGGAAGGUCACCACCAGGCGUGGAGCCUGCGGCUUAAUUUGACUCAACACGGGGAAACUCACCAGGUUCAGAUGAAAUAAGGAUUGACAGAUUGAGAGCUCUUUCUUGAUUUUUCAGGUGGUGGUGCAUGGCCGUUCUUAGUUCGUGGGGUGACUUGUCUGCUUAAUUGCGAUAACGAGCGAGACCUUACUCUGCUAAAUAGCCAGGCUAGCUUUGGCUGGUCGCCGGCUUCUUAGAGAGACUAUCAACUCAAGUUGAUGGAAGUUUGAGGCAAUAACAGGUCUGUGAUGCCCUUAGAUAUUCUGGGCCGCACGCGCGCUACACUGACAGAGCCAACGAGUUCUUUCCCUUGGCCGAAAGGUCUGGGUAAUCUUGUUAAACUCUGUCGUGCUGGGGAUAAAGCAUUGCAAUUAUUGCUUUUCAACGAGGAAUGCCUAGUAAGCGCGUGUCAUCAGCAUGCGUUGAUUACGUCCCUGACCUUUGUACACACCGCCCGUCGCUACUACCGAUUGAAUGGCUCAGUGAGGCCUUCGGACUGGCUCGGGGAGGUUGGCAACGACCACCCCAAGCCGGAAAGUUGGUCAAACUCGGUCAUUUAGAGGAAGUAAAAGUCGUAACAGAUG